ACUUUCAACAACGGAUCUCUUGGUUCUCGCAUCGAUGAAGAACGUAGCGAAGUGCGAUAUGUAGUGUGAAUUGCAGAAUUCCGUGAAUCAUCGAAUUUUUGAACGCAAAUUACUCUCUCUUCGGAGAGUAUGCCUGUUUGAGGGUCAGCC
rnacentral:rRNA from 1 species